UACGGAAGGCAGCAGUGGGGAAUAUUGGACAAUGGGCGAAAGCCUGAUCCAGCCAUGCCGCAUGAGUGAAGAAGGCCUUCGGGUUGUAAAGCUCUUUUAGUGAGAAAGAUAAUGACGGUACUCACAGAAGAAGUCCUGGCUAACUCCGUGCCAGCAGCCGCGGUAAUACGGAGAGGGCUAGCGUUAUUCGGAAUUAUUGGGCGUAAAGAGCGCGUAGGCUGAUUAGUAAGUUAAAAGUGAAAUCCCAAAGCUUAACUUUGGAAUUGCUUUUUAAAAACUGCUAGUCUAGAGAUUGAAAGAGGAUAGAGGAAUUCCUAGUGUAGAGGUGAAAUUCGUAAAUAUUAGGAGGAACACCAGUGGCGAAAGGCGUCUAUCUGGUUCAAAUCUGACGCUGAGGCGCGAAAGGGCGUGGGGAGCAAAACAGGGAUUAGAUACC
rnacentral:rRNA from 1 species